AGCCUACGGGGGGCAGCGGUGGGGAAUAUUGGGCAAUGGGCGCAAGCCUGACCCAGCAACGCCGCGUGAAGGAAGAAGGCUUUCGGGUUGUAAACUUCUUUUCUCAGGGACGAAGCAAGUGACGGCACCUGAGGAUUAAGCCACGGCUAACUACGUGCCAGCAGCCGCGGUAAUACGUAGGUGGCAAGCGUUAUCCGGAUUUACUGGGUGUAAAGGGCGUGUAGGCGGGACUGCAAGUCAGAUGUGAAAACCAUGGGCUCAACCUAUGGCCUGCAUUUGAAACUGUAGUUCUUGAGUACUGGAGG
rnacentral:rRNA from 1 species